rnacentral:rRNA from 1 species
UACAGAGACUGCAAGCGUUAUUCGGAUUCACUGGGCGUAAAGGGUGCGCAGGCGGCCAAGUGUGUGAGGCGUGAAAGCCCGGGGCUUAACCCCGGAAUUGCACCUCAAACUACAUGGCUAGAGCAUUGGAGAGGGUAGCAGAAUUCAUGGUGUAGCAGUGAAAUGCGUAGAUAUCGGGAGGAACACCAGUGGCGAAGGCGACUACCUGGCCUGUUCUUGACGCUGAGGCGCGAAAGCUAGGGGAGCAAACGGG